AGAGUUAAAUAGUACGUGAAAUUGUUGAAAGGGAAACGAUUGAAGUCAGUCGUGCCAGUGAGAAAUCAACUUGGUGGGUUUCAGGUUUUUGUGCUGAGACAGGGUCAAACCAUCUCUCUUUUGAACUCGGGGCUUACCUUGUGUACUUUCUUUUUGGCAGGUCAACGUCGAUUUUGGGGGUUGUAAAAUAACUGGGGGAAAGUAGCUCCCUUCGGGGAGUGUUAUAGACCCUGGAGAAUGCAGCCCGCGAGAUCGAGGAUUGCAGCAAAUGCUUUUUUGCUUGUCGCCUAUCCGCUGAAAGUUACCUCGCUGGUGACAAUAUUUCUUGACACUCGGUGGGACUUGUCGGUCACUGGUUAGAGCGAUCUAAAAUUUGCUAAGGAUGUUGACAUAAUGGCUUUAAACGA
rnacentral:misc_RNA from 1 species